AUGCCGGCACAGUCGCCGGCGCGGACGCUGGGGGAGUCUCUGGCACACGUGCCCCGUCAUAAAAUCUGGACGAUGGCCGUCUUCGCGCAGAUCAUGUCGCCUGCCGUCGUCACGUCUAUUUUAUACGGCGACAUAUGGCCACAGGGCUUUCGCUCCUUCUUCCGCGGCGCCCCGUGGCGGCUGCCUCUGGCGCUCUCGUGGGGCUUCUACUUGUCGCUGCUCUACCUCAUCAUGUUAUACGCGGGGCUGUUCCUGCCGCGCACGCCCGUAGCCGUCGUCAAGAAGCUCUUCUACGUUGGAGCGUACGGCGUCGGCGGAGGCAUCACUGCCAUGGUGAGCGGCGUGCUGGGGUGCCGCGUCAAGGACGGCCGCGCGCUGGCCGGAUGCACCGCCCUAGUCGAAGUGAUCAUCGUCGGCCUCGUCGCGUUUUGGGUGUGGCUUGCUCGCACCUACGGUGGAGACGGCGACUCGUCGUCGGAGGAGUCUACUACGCAUCCACCAGCAGAAGCACUAAAAGAAGGGCUGCAGCCUGCUGUUCCACAACGCCUACCUGUCUAG
rnacentral:rRNA from 1 species